GAGUAGCUGGGAGUACAGAUGCACACCACCACACCCAGCCUAGAAUGAAGAAACCUGCAGUUGGGAAGCAUGAAUUUACCACCUAUUAAGGAAUGCAAGAAAUUACAUUAUAGAAAGCAAGCUGUACUUCAGAAAAACACACAUCAACAGAGGAAGAGAAAGGCUCCAUUUCUUUUGAAAAUGAUGGAAGAUUCUUCUCAGAAAUCUUUUUAAAAAAUCAGUAUAUUCAGAGAUCUGAUAGAGACUUUAUUUUAGUUCUAGUUUUUUUGGGGAAAAGUUUGCCAUGGUUUUGGAGGCUCCUUAAAGUAUUAAAUCUUGAGCUCUUCUUAUCAAAGUCAAGGGAACCUACUGAGUAAAACUAUUUUUAAAAGGGAGAAAUUUUUAUGCUUUCCUUUUAAGAGGUUAAUCAAUAAACCCAAGUGAACAAGAA
rnacentral:lncRNA from 1 species